rnacentral:rRNA from 1 species
UACGUAGGUGGCAAGCGUUGUCCGGAAUUAUUGGGCGUAAAGCGCGCGCAGGCGGCCUCUUAAGUCUGAUGUGAAAGCCCCCGGCUCAACCGGGGAGGGCCAUUGGAAACUGGGAGACUUGGGUAUAGGAGAGAAGAGUGGAAUUCCACGUGUAGCGGUGAAAUGCGUAGAGAUGUGGAGGAACACCAGUGGCGAAGGCGACUCUUUGGCCUAUAACUGACGCUGAGGCGCGAAAGCGUGGGGAGCAAACAGG